GCUAGAUGGAGCAUCAGGACUUGCGGUUUAGGACUGCACUAGACGAAGGGGAGUUGCUAGCCCAUGCAGGAGGUGUCUCCUCUUCCCUUUGAGGGAUAAGUAGCCUUGACCUUCUCCAUGAGUAUCAAGAUAAGCGAAGUUCUCACCCCUCAUCAAAGAAACUUCUCUUUGCAACAGAUGGAGACCAUUAAAGAAAACUGCAACUGGUCAAAAGGCAGAAAACAAGAAAUCAAACGGUGCCCAGUUCCAAGGGAUACAUUCACGACACAAUUCCAGCACCCUUAAAAGGCUCAGGGACCUCUGGGGAAGAUGGGGCAGAAAGAUUACUAGAGCCAGAAGAAAAGGAAGUUUAUUGUGAGAUUGUGUCUCUGAGAAAGACAGAGAAGCUAUACCUAUAAACUCUCCUCAACAUGUCUGCCUAAACAUGAGCAAUGAUGGUACUGGUAGACAUGCUGACAUGGAAGGAAGAAAGUUAAGAUGUCUUAAAAACAAAAACAAACAACACAAAACCACAAAACAGAAACAAUAACUACAGGCAACCCAGGAAUGCUGAGAGUGGGAGAAAUGAUCUUAUAGAGGGGGGAGUCCCCUAAUUGCUUACCCAAUACCAAAUGGUAAGCCCUAAAAUCAUAUACAAAUAAGUACGAUUAUAGGGGCUGAUUAAGUUGCAAUUGUAUUUUAGGAAUGUGUGUAUGUACGGAUGUGGGUAACAACAAUUAAAGAAAAAGGCCACGAACUUGAGAGAGAGCAAGAGGAGAUACAUGGGAGGGGUUGGAAGGAGGAAAGAGAAGGGGGAAUGAUGUAAUUAUAUUAUGUUUUCAAACAUUAAAAAUAUGAUAAAGAUAAAUCAAAGUAGAUGGAAUAUAUAGAGUAAAAAGCCAGAUGUGA